UGACCGUUCCUAAGUCGUUAAACUAAGGAUAGAAAGAGGUGCUACCUCGUUAAAAAGCGUA
rnacentral:ncRNA from 1 species